GAUGAACGCUAGCGACAGGCCUAACACAUGCAAGUCGAGGGGCAGCAUUAUCGAAAGCUUGCUUUUGAUAGAUGGCGACCGGCGCACGGGUGAGUAACGCGUAUGCAACCUACCUUACAUUGGGGGAUAGCCCAGAGAAAUCUGGAUUAAUACCGCAUAAUAUAUUUGAAUCGCAUGGUUUAAAUAUUAAAACUCCGGUGAUGUAAGAUGGGCAUGCGUAGCAUUAGUUAGUUGGUAAGGUAACGGCUUACCAAGACAAUGAUGCUUAGGGGGUCUGAGAGGAUAGUCCCCCACACUGGUACUGAGACACGGACCAG
rnacentral:rRNA from 1 species